rnacentral:tRNA from 2 species
GCCCGCGUGGCCUAAUGGAUAAGGCGUCUGACUUCUAAUCAGAAGAUUGCCGGUUCGAUCCCGGCCGUGGGCU